AAGAAAUCAUGUAACUGGCGGAAAUGGAUGUAACCAUAGGGAGCGUGAUUAAAAAGUUAUCGACCGCCUGGGUAAAAGUG
rnacentral:ncRNA from 2 species